GGGCACAUGGUGUAGUUGGUUAUCACAUCCGCUUAGCAUGAUCUAGCUAAUCUGCCUGCGGGGGGUGCUGGGUUCAAUUCCCAGUGUGUCCA